GAUGAACGCUGGCGGCGUGCUUAACACAUGCAAGUCGAACGAAGCACUUUAUUUGAUUUCCUUCGGGACUGAUUAUUUUGUGACUGAGUGGCGGACGGGUGAGUAACGCGUGGGUAACCUGCCUUGUACAGGGGGAUAACAGUUGGAAACGGCUGCUAAUACCGCAUAAGCGCACAGCAUCGCAUGAGGCAGUGUGAAAAACUCCGGUGGUAUAAGAUGGACCCGCGUUGGAUUAGCUAGUUGGUGAGGUAACGGCCCACCAAGGCGACGAUCCAUAGCCGACCUGAGAGGGUGACCGGCCACAUUGGGACUGAGACACGGCCCAAACUCCUACGGGAGGCAGCAGUGGGGAAUAUUGCACAAUGGGCGAAAGCCUGAUGCAGCGACGCCGCGUGAGCGAAGAAGUAUUUCGGUAUGUAAAGCUCUAUCAGCAGGGAAGAUAAUGACGGUACCUGACUAAGAAGCACCGGCUAACUACGUG
rnacentral:rRNA from 1 species